rnacentral:pre_miRNA from 1 species
GCUAGGCAAGAUGUUGGCAUAGCUGAACUAAAACCGCCGGCGUCAGGUAUCAGCUUCGCCACAUUCUGCCAAGCG